rnacentral:lncRNA from 10 species
AUGGGCCCACAGGAAAGCCUUAAUAUUAGUACAAAGCAACUCAAUACAAUUUCAGGUAUUUUUCAGAGAUAGAAAUACUUAAUGUUAUAUUUAUGUAACUAUAAAAUUAAGAAGAAUUUACAUAAAAUUGUUCUAUAAACACACACGCACGUGCGCGCGCGCACACACACACACACACACACUUCUAUUCACAUGAGGAACAGUUUGUGGAAUGAGAGGCAGACGAGAGGAAAGAUGAAGAGGAGCUUCCUAUAUCCCUGGGCGGGCACUGACUUGAUGGUGACCCCUGCAGGGGGAUUCUAGAAAACGAGGUUGGAUGAAGUGUUUGCUGGAAGCUCCUGAGAGUAACUGCAGUCUGAGUCCUAGUAAAUGAUGAAUGUUAAAGUUCAGUAAGUGAGAUUUUGUUGUCAGGUCCAAGAGGUGAAAGGGGAAAAAUGAAUAAUAAUUACAGCUUCUGUUUAUAGUGGUGUAUCUCACUUUAUUCUCACAAUAGCACUAUGAGAUAGAUACUAUUAUUAUCCCCUUUACUAACUGGGGAAACUGAAGCUAAGAGACACUGAGGAACUUGCCCAAGCUCACACAGCUAGUAAUUGAGGAAAUAGGAUUGGAAUCUGGGGUUCUAUUGGAAUCUAUUGUUUGAGUUCUUAACCACAGCACAGAGUCUAAAGCUGAGCACACACAAUAACCAAGAAGGAAAGGAUAGGCAGAAAUAAUGUGAGAGAGUUUAGCAUUUGCUUCAGAAACCUGAGAUCCAUUUUCAGUGCUGCUAGGACUGGUUUCCAGGUUUAAAGAUUGGAGGAAACAAGGAAGUAGCCAUGGAGACAAAAACAUGAAAGUGUUUCUGUCUGUCUGUCUCUGUGUGUGUGUAUGUGUGUGUGUGUCUCUCUCUUUCUGUCUGUCUCUCUGUGUGUCUCUUUGUCUCUCUCUCUCUCUCACACGCGUGCACACACACACACACUCACUCACACUGUAGUCUCAUAGAGGAAAUGGAAAUGGAACUACUACAGGUAACCACACACACCUGCAGAAUUAAUUUUAAUGGCAAAAACAGCAAUUACUUUUGCACCAACUAUUUUUACUUGCUCUUUCAGAUCCAUUUGCCAUCUCUUUGGCACUCUGCACUGUGCCACAGGAUCAUGACCUUUAUCAAUAGCAUUAACCAAGUCUGCAGUUGGAUUUGGCCAAUGGGAAGCACUGGUAAGAGACUGGAAAAUUGGAGGACAGAAAAAGGCUGACGGACUUAUUCCCCUGAUUGUCUCCUUGAUUGGUGAUAAUUUAUGCAUUCCUAUGCCAAAGGCCACGGUUCCUGCUGGGAAGUCCUCUUCUACUACUACAGCUCUCACCGGUUUCAGUAAUCUCUCUCUCUCCUGACCUUUCCAGUUUAGAAAUGGUAAUGGCCUCCUGCUGUUGAGGAGUUCCCUGUGGAACUCCACCAUCUCUUCUGGUUUUCCUAUAUCUUGUCACAUAUUGGGCUGGUGGCAAAAGCCAAACUGGCCUUGGAAUAUGAAUGUGGAUUUUUGCAAGUUUAAAUAGGUGAUGAUGUCAUUUGCAGUCUGGCACCUGGUAUGCAGAUACUGACAUGGAAAAUGCUUUUUCUCCAUUUCUAUCAGCAAAGGUAAUCAGAAACAGUUUACCUUUACAUGGCAAGGAGCAUGGCACACCACCAUUGUUUUAUUACAGGGCUAUGUCAACUCUCCUAUUCUGUCAUAAUAGAAUCCAGAGGAUGAUAAUAUUACUGUCUCACAGAUUAUCAUACUGGUCCAUUACAUUGGUUACAUUAUGCUAAUUGUGCCUGGUGAGCAGUAAGAAGCAAGCACUCUAAGUUGCCUUUGUAAAUCACAUGUAUGCUAAAGAAUAGAAGAAAAAUUCUGACAAAGUUUAAAGGUCUGAAACACCAGUGAAGUUUCUGUGGGUCCAAUGGUUGAGGCAUAUUAAAAUAACUGCUCCAAAAGUUAAAAAUACCUGGCAUCUUCUAUCACAAAGAAAAGAACUCUUUGGAUUUCAGAGGCAACCUAUACCAUCUUUGAGCAUCCUUCUCUGAUCCUGUAAGCAAGUGAGACACAAGGCAUUCAGUUUUGAGUGGUGUCCAGAGCAAGAAAAGGCUCUACAUCAGGUUCAGGCUGCAGGGCAAAUUUCCCUGCCACAUGGGCCUUAUGACUUUAUGGAUCAAUCGUAUUGGAAAGAUCUCUGUCAGAUAUAGAUGCUAUAAUAGGUCUCUUGGUUGAUUAAAAUAAUGCCAACCUGGAUAUACCCUUCUUUCUGAAACUUAAAU